rnacentral:rRNA from 1 species
AGUGAACGCUGGCGGUAGGCCUAACACAUGCAAGUCGAACGGCAGCACAGUAAGAGCUUGCUCUUACGGGUGGCGAGUGGCGGACGGGUGAGGAAUACAUCGGAAUCUACUUUUUCGUGGGGGAUAACGUAGGGAAACUUACGCUAAUACCGCAUACGACCUACGGGUGAAAGCAGGGGAUCUUCGGACCUUGCGCGAUUGAAUGAGCCGAUGUCGGAUUAGCUAGUUGGCGGGGUAAAGGCCCACCAAGGCGACGAUCCGUAGCUGGUCUGAGAGGAUGAUCAGCCACACUGGAACUGAGACACGGUCCAGACUCCUACGGGAGGCAGCAGUGGGGAAUAUGGGACAAGGGGCGCAAGCCUGAUCCAGCCAUACCGCGUGGGUGAAGAAGGCCUUCGGGUUGUAAAGCCCUUUUGUUGGGAAAGAAAAGCAGCAGGUUAAUACCCCGCUGUUCUGACGGUACCCAAAGAAUAAGCACCGGCUAACUUCGUG